rnacentral:rRNA from 1 species
GACAGAGGCCUCAAGCGUUAGGCGGAAUCACUGGGCUUAAAGCGUGUGUAGGCGGACUUCUAAGUGCCUUGUGAAAUCCCACGGCUCAACCGUGGAACUGCUGGGCAUACUGGGAGUCUUGGGCCAUUCAGGGGCAACUGGAACAAGCGGUGGAGCGGUGAAAUGCGCAGAUAUCAGGAGGAACACCGAUGGCGAAGGCAGGUCUCUGGGCAUUAACUGACGCUGAGGAGCGAAAGCAUGGGGAGCGAACAGG